GUUAGAUGCGAAAAACUUUCCCCCAAACUCCAAGAAUGUAAGUAUCUACACUUAUCACCAUAACCACAGUUCCCCUGAACCCAAAAAUUACAAAGCUUCUCUGUCUUUCUAAUUAUUCUAUUACCACCACCAUGAACUCGUCCCCACGUCGAGCCGCCGCUAAAAUUGGGACUCCGUCGGGGAACAGAAACAGUCGAAUCAUCAGAGGCGAAUCCAUGACCCCUCUUCGAGGCAGUAUUAACAGCUCCAUUCGAAGCCGCAUGUGGAGGGGCAUUUAACUCACGGUGAAGGAAAGGACAUGGAUAGCGAUUACAUUUACCCGCCCUCCAAUGGUAACAGACCUUCUGAUUCCUAGAAUCUCCAGAAGGCGCG
rnacentral:misc_RNA from 1 species